rnacentral:rRNA from 1 species
GACAGAGGGUGCAAACGUUGUUCGGAAUUACUGGGCGUAAAGCGCGUGUAGGUGGCAAGGCAAGUCGGGUGUGAAAGCCCUGGGCUCAACCCAGGAAGUGCACUCGAUACUGCCUCGCUAGAGUCCCGGAGAGGUUGGUGGAACUCUCGGUGUAGAGGUGAAAUUCGUAGAUAUCGAGAAGAACACCGGUGGCGAAGGCGGCCAACUGGACGGUGACUGACACUGAGACGCGAAAGCGUGGGGAGCGAACAGG